UACCCACAAACAGCCACAUAAUGCACGACCCAUCUACCCACAAACAGCCACAUAAUGCACGACCCAUCUACCCACAAACAGCCACAUAAUGCACGACCCAUCUACCCACAAACAGCCACAUAAUGCACGACCCAUCUACCCACAAACAGCCACAUAAUGCACGACCCAUCUACCCACAAACAGCCACAUAAUGCACGACCCAUCUACCCACAAACAGCCACAUAAUGCACGACCCAUCUACCCACAAACAGCCACAUAAUGCACGACCCAUCUACCCACAAACAGCUAACAGCUAAUUCAAAAUGGAGAAGACUCUUUUUUUUUUUCUUCUUUAAAAAAAAAUGAUUUUUUUUUUGUUGACUUUGUGGUGCUUUGCCAUUGCAUGUACAUUGACUUGGAUAUGGAGGGUAUAUAAUUAUUAUUGGCUGUCCAGACCCAGUCACUCAAUCAACCAAUCACUUGUCCAGAGACAGCUUUCAGCUAUCUCUUGAUUUAGCACAAUGAAUCAGAAGCUACAUCCUUGGCUGAGAAUGAACCAACCAAUCAGAGCUGCAAUAGAAUAUUCUCUAAAAGUCAACCAUCCCCAGGGAUUCAUUUAAGACUGUUUCCAAAAGUGCAUCCUAUUUUCCAUCUUAACGUCCCAGGGGUCCAUGGGGCUCUGGUGAAAAGUAGUGCAGUAAAUAAGGAAUAGACUGUCAUUUGGGACAGAACCUUCUUUCCUUCCUCCCUUCUCCCGCUUCAGUGCAAUUAACAGAGCUGAAUGAAUCCUACACAUGCCUAAUGAUUUCUGCAAAGUGCUGAAAUGCUCCAUAUGGCAAUAGUAGAAGGGACAGGAGGUUUUUCCUGACCAGGAGAAAAUCAAAUGUUAUUUGUUUACAGUGAAAUGCUUACAAGCUUUAAGUUUUAAGAAGAAAGUGUUGAAAGUAUUUAUUUACUAAAAUGUCUGUGUCCCAAAUGGCAUACAUAUUCCCUAUAGCAGGGAUAUGUUCUCUUCUACUUGAUAAUUAAUUUCACACAUCUGGUGUCUCAGGUCUAAAUCAGUCCCUGGUUAGAGGGGAAUCACACACCUUGUGUCCCAGGUCUAAAUCAGUCCCUGGUUAGAGGGGAAUCACCCAUCUGGUGUCCCAGGUCUAAAUCAGUCCCUGGUUAGAGGGGAAUCACCCAUCUGGUGUCCCAGGUCUAAAUCAGUCCCUGGUUAGAGGGGAAUCACCCAUCUGGUGUCCCAGGUCUAAAUCAGUCCCUGGUUAGAGGGGAAUCACCCAUCUGGUGUCCCAGGUCUAAAUCAGUCCCUGGUUAGAGGGGAAUCACCCAUCUGGUGUCCCAGGUCUAAAUCAGUCCCUGAUUAGAAGGGAAUCACACACCUUGUGUCCCAGGUCUAAAUCAGUCCCUGGUUAGAGGGGAAUCACCCAUCUGGUGUCCCAGGUCUAAAUCAGUCCCUGGUUAGAGGGGAAUCACCCAUCUGGUGUCCCAGGUCUAAAUCAGUCCCUGGUUAGAGGGGAAUCACCCAUCUGGUGUCCCAGGUCUAAAUCAGUCCCUGGUUAGAGGGGAAUCACCCAUCUGGUGUCCCAGGUCUAAAUCAGUCCCUGGUUAGAGGGGAAUCACCCAUCUGGUGUCCCAGGUCUAAAUCAGUCCCUGGUUAGAGGGGAAUCACACACCUUGUGUCCCAGGUCUAAAUCAGUCCCUGAUGAGAGGGGAAUCACACACCUUGUGUCCCAGGUCUAAAUCAGUCCCUGGUUAGAGGGGAAUCACCCAUCUGGUGUCCCAGGUCUAAAUCAGUCCCUGGUUAGAGGGGAAUCACCCAUCUGGUGUCCCAGGUCUAAAUCAGUCCCUGGUUAGAGGGGAAUCACCCAUCUGGUGUCCCAGGUCUAAAUCAGUCCCUGGUUAGAGGGGAAUCACCCAUCUGGUGUCCCAGGUCUAAAUCAGUCCCUGGUUAGAGGGGAAUCACCCAUCUGGUGUCCCAGGUCUAAAUCAGUCCCUGGUUAGAGGGGAAUCACCCAUCUGGUGUCCCAGGUCUAAAUCAGUCCCUGAUUAGAGGGGAAUCACCCAUCUGGUGUCCCAGGUCUAAAUCAGUCCCUGGUUAGAGGGGAAUCACCCAUCUGGUGUCCCAGGUCUAAAUCAGUCCCUGGUUAGAGGGGAAUCACCCAUCUGGUGUCCCAGGUCUAAAUCAGUCCCUGGUUAGAGGGGAAUCACCCAUCUGGUGUCCCAGGUCUAAAUCAGUCCCUGGUUAGAGGGGAAUCACCCAUCUGGUGUCCCAGGUCUAAAUCAGUCCCUGGUUAGAGGGGAAUCACCCAUCUGGUGUCCCAGGUCUAAAUCAGUCCCUGGUUAGAGGGGAAUCACCCAUCUGGUGUCCCAGGUCUAAAUCAGUCCCUGGUUAGAGGGGAAUCACCCAUCUGGUGUCCCAGGUCUAAAUCAGUCCCUGGUUAGAGGGGAAUCACCCAUCUGGUGUCCCAGGUCUAAAUCAGUCCCUGGUUAGAGGGGAAUCACCCAUCUGGUGUCCCAGGUCUAAAUCAGUCCCUGAUUAGAGGGGAAUCACCCAUCUGGUGUCCCAGGUCUAAAUCAGUCCCUGGUUAGAGGGGAAUCACCCAUCUGGUGUCCCAGGUCUAAAUCAGUCCCUGGUUAGAGGGGAAUCACCCAUCUGGUGUCCCAGGUCUAAAUCAGUCCCUGGUUAGAGGGGAAUCACCCAUCUGGUGUCCCAGGUCUAAAUCAGUCCCUGGUUAGAGGGGAAUCACCCAUCUGCUGUCCCAGGUCUAAAUCAGUCCCUGGUUAGAGGGGAAUCACCCAUCUGGUGUCCCAGGUCUAAAUCAGUCCCUGGUUAGAGGGGAAUCACCCAUCUGGUGUCCCAGGUCUAAAUCAGUCCCUGGUUAGAGGGGAAUCACCCAUCUGGUGUCCCAGGUCUAAAUCAGUCCCUGGUUAGAGGGGAAUCACCCAUCUGGUGUCCCAGGUCUAAAUCAGUCCCUGGUUAGAAGGGAACAAUUUAAAAAGUGCAGUGAAACUGGCUUCGAGGUCCAGCGUUGAGUUUGAGGGCCCUAUAUAGUGCACUACUUUUGACCAGAAACCUAUUGGCCACGGUCAAAAGUAGUGCACUAUAUAUGGAAUAGGGUGCCAUUUGGGAUCAAAAGUAUUGCACUAUAUAGGGAAUAUGGUGCCAUUUGGGAGGGCCUACUGGGUUGUAGUUAUUUGCUAUAGUGUUUCCCUGUCAGGCCCUAUGGUCAGGAAUAACUCCUACCCCUAGGCAAAGAUUUUUUUAAAUUAUUAAAGAUUUAAAUGGGACUUUUCUUGUCGUCCGUCCUAGGUCCUGUAAAUGUGUAUAUCUCCGAAAAUCCCAAGCCACGCCUUUUAGUGCUCAGCUUUGUCAAAAUAAUGCUCUCUGUUCUACAAUUGUUUACAAUGCAACACGUUUGUAAAGUAUUUUUCACAUGUCAUAACUGACCAGUCUUGGUGUAUACUCUUUAAUCCUCUCAUUCAUCUUUCGCAAUGUAUUUAUUUCUAAAAACAAAUAUUUAACUUUUUUUUUUUUUUUUUUUUUUUUAAGCUUUCGAUAACCCAUCUUGUACUGUGACUUGACUUUACCGACGGUAUGAAUGAGUGACACGAAACUGAUACGCUUCAACGGAACAUGACACAAACAGGAAUACAUAAACAACAACAAAAAUGCAUUAACAAAUAUUGGAAAUGUGUACAAGUGAAAGUUGUGGAAAAUGUAAGAGAUAUAUAUAUAUAUAUUAAAACAAAUGUUGCAACCCUU